rnacentral:rRNA from 1 species
GAGUUUGAUCCUGGCUCAGGAUAAACGCUGGCGGCAUGCCUAACACAUGCAAGUCGAACGGGGUUUAUAUAACAGAACUCUCCGGAGGGAAGAUAUAUAAACCUAGUGGCGGACGGGUGAGUAACGCGUGGGCAACCUGCCCUGUACCGGGGGACAACAGCCAGAAAUGGCUGCUAAUACCGCAUAAGCCCCGUGUGCCGCAUGGCACACGGGGGAAAACUCCGGUGGUACAGGAUGGGCCCGCGUCUGAUUAGCUUGUUGGCGGGGUAACGGCCCACCAAGGCAGCGAUCAGUAGCCGGCUUGAGAGAGCGGACGGCCACAUUGGGACUGAGACACGGCCCAGACUCCUGCGGGAGGCAGCAGUGGGGAAUAUUGCACAAUGGGGGAAACCCUGAUGCAGCAAUGCCGCGUGGGUGAAGAAGUAUUUCGGUACGUAAAGCCCUAUCAGCAGGGAAGAAAAUGACGGUACCUGACUAAGAAGCCCCGGCUAACUACGUGCCAGCAGCCGCGGUAAUACGUAGGGGGCGAGCGUUAUCCGGAUUUACUGGGUGUAAAGGGAGCGCAGGCGGCGUGGCAAGUCAGAUGUGAAAACCCGGGGCCCAACCCCGGGACUGCAUUUGAAACUGCCAUGCUGG